rnacentral:rRNA from 1 species
UACGUAGGGUGCAAGCGUUAAUCGGAAUUACUGGGCGUAAAGCGUGCGCAGGCGGUUUUGUAAGUCAGAUGUGAAAUCCCCGGGCUUAACCUGGGAACUGCGUUUGAAACUACAAGGCUAGAGUGUGGCAGAGGGGGGUGGAAUUCCACGUGUAGCAGUGAAAUGCGUAGAGAUCGGAAAGAACACCAACGGCGAAAGCACUCUGCUGGGCCGACACUGACACUGAGAGACGAAAGCUAGGGGAGCGAAUGGG